GACGAACGCUGGCGGCGUGCUUAACACAUGCAAGUCGAACGGAAAGGCCCUGCUUGCAGGGUACUCGAGUGGCGAACGGGUGAGUAACACGUGGGUGAUCUGCCCUGCACUUCGGGAUAAGCCUGGGAGACUGGGUCUAAUACCGGAUAGGAGCCAUUUUUAGUGUGAUGGUUGGAAAGUUUUUUCGGUGUAGGAUGAGCUCGCGGCCUAUCAGCUUGUUGGUGGGGUAAUGGCCUACCAAGGCGGCGACGGGUAGCCGGCCUGAGAGGGUGGACGGCCACAUUGGGACUGGGAUACGGCCCAGACUCCUACGGGAGGCAGCAGUGGGGAAUAUUGCACAAUGGGCGCAAGCCUGAUGCAGCGACGCCGCGUGGGGGAUGACGGCCUUCGGGUUGUAAACUCCUUUCGCUAGGGACGAAGCUUUUUGUGACGGUACCUAGAUAAGAAGCACCGGCUAACUACGUG
rnacentral:rRNA from 1 species